UACGUAGGGUGCGAGCGUUAAUCGGAAUUACUGGGCGUAAAGUGUGCGCAGGCGGCGCCGCAAGUCGAGUGUGAAAGCCCCGGGCUUAACUUGGGAAUUGCGCUCGAAACUAUGGUGCUGGAGUGUGGCAGAGGAAGGUGGAAUUCCACGUGUAGCGGUGAAAUGCGUAGAGAUGUGGAGGAACACCGAUGGCGAAGGCAGCCUUCUGGGCCAACACUGACGCUCAGUGCACGAAAGCGUGGGGAGCAAACAGG
rnacentral:rRNA from 1 species